rnacentral:ncRNA from 1 species
AUAACAUUUUUAGAUAUAAUCCGAGGGAUAUGGCUUCGAAGUUUCUACCCGGCCGACGUAAAAGGCCGGACUAUCCGAAAAUG